rnacentral:rRNA from 1 species
UACGUAGGGUGCGAGCGUUGUCCGGAAUUAUUGGGCGUAAAGAGCUUGUAGGCGGUUUGUCGCGUCUGCUGUGAAAAUCCGGGGCUCAACCCCGGACUUGCAGUGGGUACGGGCAGACUAGAGUGUGGUAGGGGAGACUGGAAUUCCUGGUGUAGCGGUGAAAUGCGCAGAUAUCAGGAGGAACACCAGUAUCGGAAGGCAGACUCUGGGACGUUACUGACGCUGAGACGCGAAAGCGUGGGGAGCAAACAGG